AACGAACGCUGGCGGCAUGCCUAACACAUGCAAGUCGAACGAGACCUUCGGGUCUAGUGGCGCACGGGUGCGUAACGCGUGGGAACCUGCCUUUAGGUUCGGAAUAACUCAGAGAAAUAUGAGCUAAUACCGGAUGAUGUCUUCGGACCAAAGAUUUAUCGCCUUUAGAUGGGCCCGCGUUGGAUUAGCUAGUUGGUGGGGUAAAGGCCUACCAAGGCGACGAUCCAUAGCUGGUCUGUGAGGAUGAUCAGCCACACUGGGACUGAGACACGGCCCAGACUCCUACGGGAGGCAGCAGUGGGGAAUAUUGGACAAUGGGCGAAAGCCUGAUCCAGCAAUGCCGCGUGAGUGAUGAAGGCCUUAGGGUUGUAAAGCUCUUUUACCCGAGAUGAUAAUGACAGUAUCGGGAUAAUAAGCUCCGGCUAACUCCGUG
rnacentral:rRNA from 1 species